rnacentral:tRNA from 1 species
UAGCUCAGUCGGUUGAGCGUGGUGCUGAUAACACCAAGGUCGUGGGUUCGAUCCCCGU